rnacentral:rRNA from 1 species
UACGUAGGGUGCAAGCGUUGUCCGGAAUUAUUGGGCGUAAAGAGCUCGUAGGCGGUCUGUUGCGUCGGCUGUGAAAACCCGGGGCUCAACCCCGGGCCUGCAGCCGAUACGGGCAGACUAGAGUUCGGCAGGGGAGACUGGAAUUCCUGGUGUAGCGGUGAAAUGCGCAGAUAUCAGGAGGAACACCGAUGGCGAAGGCAGGUCUCUGGGCUGUAACUGACGCUGAGGAGCGAAAGCAUGGGGAGCGAACAGG